AUGAAUAUUAGGGUGCUCUUUUCAUCAAAGAGGCCUGACCUUCAUUCUUCUACCCUGUGCACUAUUUCUAUUUGGCAGUUGGUAGUAGGGCUUGUCCCUACGACUCUGCUGAAUUCACUCUUAAACUCUACAAGUCUAAGAAUGUUAAAACUAUAAACUAAA
rnacentral:misc_RNA from 1 species